AGUGAACGCUGGCGGUAGGCCUAACACAUGCAAGUCGAACGGCAGCACAGUAAGAGCUUGCUCUUACGGGUGGCGAGUGGCGGACGGGUGAGGAAUACAUCGGAAUCUACUUUUUCGUGGGGGAUAACGUAGGGAAACUUACGCUAAUACCGCAUACGACCUACGGUUGAAAGCAGGGGAUCUUCGGACCUUGCGCGAUUGAAUGAGCCGAUGUCGGAUUAGCUAGUUGGCGGGGUAAAGGCCCACCAAGGCGACGAUCCGUAGCUGGUCUGAGAGGAUGUUCAGCCACACUGGAAAUAAGACACGGUCCAGACUCCUACGGGAGGCAGCAGUGGGGAAUAUUGGACAAUGGGCGCAAGCCUGAUCCAGCCAUACCGCGUGGGUGAAGAAGGCCUUCGGGUUGUAAAGCCCUUUUGUUGGGAAAGAAAAGCAGCAGGUUAAUACCCCGCUGUUCUGACGGUACCCAAAGAAUAAGCACCGGCUAACUUCGUG
rnacentral:rRNA from 1 species